rnacentral:tRNA from 1 species
GCGGGCUUGGCCGAACGGUCAGGCAGUGGCCUUCCAAGCCGCCUAAACGGGUUCGACUCCCGUAGCCCGCUCCA